UAUAGAAGGGGGGAGAUUGAGCUUCGACCACUGCGCAUCCUAUUUUCAUGGGACAAAAGUGGGUCCGCCAUUUGUCAGGUCAUAGCACGGUAUUAUGAGCACGGUUUAACAAUUUAGUGAAUAUUCUUGUCAUUUAGCUGCCAUUGCCUGCUGUCAAGUCAAACGAAUGUAAACAAUAAUAACAAAUAUCAACGUAUUUUUGGUGAUAUUUAGCGGAUUCGUAUGGUUUUAUUAGCUUUUUUCGCUGAAUAGCAGGAUAUUUACGAUGGCUUACUUCACAAUUAUAGUAUUUCUCCUUCAAAAUUUAUGAAAAGACUCAGCGAAUUGGAAAAACUCCAAGCAUCAUAUAGAAGGAAAUUAUACAAUUAAGUCUCUAAAAAAUAAAAUACAACACAUUAAAGAAGUGAUGGACUUUUUGAGACAAGAUCAACGUAUUUCUGAAAAUGCUGCCCAUUAUUGGGAGAAAUCUUUUGAUUCAGUGCCACAUUGAUGAAAAGAUAUUUAAAAAAUGUAGAGAAUGAUACUGUGACCCUUAAAGUUCCAGUCUUGAGGGAAUUGUAAUAUUCUUCAAAAAUCAAGGGGGACUUCGUGUACCAUCAUAUGGAAUUAUAACGAUAUGUCAAUCAGGAAUUUGAUGAUUUCAACUAAAAAUAGAGUUCCAAGAGAUGAAAAUUUUCUCGAUGCAUUUGCAACAAUUCAGUCCCAAAAAUUUUAUGAUCGAGUUGAUGAUUUGUUCCUUCCUUGAAAGAACAUUUUUUUAUAUUCUUCAGUGAUUGGCAGACAUCAUGGCUUUCUUUUAGUGAAAAAUAUUGCCAGAUCUCUCAUUUUAAAAUUAGAAUAUUCAAUCUGAAAAAAGUUUAUACUGAAAAAUUCAAGGUUCUGCAAUUAGAAGACUUCAUCACUUGAUUUUAUGCAGCAAUCGAUACUGGAUAUACAAUAUUGUAUAAAUAAAAUGAAUAGAAAAAUGUUUUUUUUCUUUUAUAUAUUUAAUGCCAGUAGCUACUGAAAAAUGUACCGACUUGUUAGCUUUCAUCAUAUCAUGUCUUACUUCCAAUAAAAAAUAUCAUAUCAAAUUAUCCACUUUGUGCAAAAAAUUUAGUGUCCUUCAGAUAGACAAAAUCAUGUUUCCUCAGAAGCAGAAAAUAAAAAUUAAAACUUAAUAGCAGAAUUCCAGAAUUGCAUCUCGAAGGAAAGUGGGCGAGCAAUUUUUCAAGUUACUUUCCUCUGAUCGUAAUUAGGGAACAGUAGUGAAAAGAAGCGAUUCUGGAACAAACCAAAUAUUGGUGACGCUUCGAAGUCUAUAUAUAUCAGACUACCCCAUAAGACCAAAUUGCUAGAAUCUUCGAAAUCAUGGAUUUUAUUUUGAAAACGUUACCUAUUUUGAUAUUUCGUUUCAUGUUUUUGUUUGUUGUUAGGAAACUAUUUUUUCCACUGAUUGGCUCCCAACCAGA